UACGUAGGGGGCAAGCGUUGUCCGGAAUCAUUGGGCGUAAAGAGCGUGUAGGCGGCCCGGUAAGUCCGCUGUAAAAGUCAAAGGCUCAACCUUUGAAUGUCAGUGGAUACUGCCGGGCUAGAGUCCGGAAGAGGCGAGUGGAACUCCUGGUGGUAGCGGUGGAAUGCGCAGAUAUCAGGAAGAACACCAACGGCGAAGGCAGCUCGCUGGACGGUACUGACGCUGAGACGCGAAGCGUGGGGAGCGAACAGG
rnacentral:rRNA from 1 species